rnacentral:rRNA from 1 species
UUAGUCGUAGAACCACUGAUGAAUAAGGGGUGGGCAAGUUCUGGUGUCAGCCGCCGCGGUAAAACCAGCACCUCAAGUGGUCAGGAUGAUUAUUGGGCCUAAAGCAUCCGUAGCCUGUUCUGUAAGUUUUCGGUUAAAUCUAUGCGCUCAACGUAUAGGCUGCCGAAAAUACUGCAGAACUAGGGAGUGGGAGAGGUAGACGGUACUCGGUAGGAAGGGGUAAAAUCCUUUGAUCUAUUGAUGACCACCUGUGGCGAAGGCGGUCUACCAGAACACGUUCGACGGUGAGGGAUGAAAGCUGGGGGAGCAAACCGGAUUAGAUACCCGGGUAGUCCCAGCUGUAAACGAUGCAAACUCGAUGAUGCGUUGGCUUGUUGCUAGCGCAGUGUCGCAGGGAAGCCGUUAAGUUUGCCGCCUGGGAAGUACGUACGCAAGUAUGAAACUUAAAGGAAUUGGCGGGGGAGCACCACAAGGGGUGAAGCCUGCGGUUCAAUUGGAUUCAACGCCGGGAAUC